rnacentral:rRNA from 1 species
GACGAACCGUCCAAACGUUAUUCGGAAUCACUGGGCUUACAGAGUUCGUAGGCGGUCUGGAAAGUUGGGUGUGAAAUCCCUCGGCUCAACCGAGGAACUGCGCUUGAAACUACCAGACUCGAGGGAGAUAGAGGAAAGCGGAACUGAUGGUGGAGCGGUGAAAUGCGUUGAUAUCAUCAGGAACACCGGUGGCGAAGGCGGCUUUCUGGGUCUUACCUGACGCUGAGGCACGAAAGCCAGGGGAGCGAACGGG